rnacentral:rRNA from 1 species
AACGCGAAGAACCUUACCUGGGUUUGACAUCCCCUGACAGCCGUAGAGAUACGGUUUCGGUAGCAAUACCGCAGGGAGACAGGUGCUGCAUGGCUGUCGUCAGCUCGUGGGGUGACCUGUUGGGUUAAGUCCCGCAACGAGCGCAACCCUUGUCCUUAGUUGCCAGCAUUUAGUUGGGCCCUCUAAGGAGACUGCCGUGGUUAACACGGAGGAAGGUGGGGAUGACGUCAAGUCCUCAUGGCCUUUAUAUCCAGGGCGACACACGUGAUACAAUGGUCGGUACAAAGGGAUGCCAAGCGGUAACGCGGAGCUAAUCUCAAAAAGCCGAUCUCAGUUCGGAUUGGAGUCUGUAACUCGACUUCAUGAAGUUGGAAUCGCUAGUAAUCGCGGAUCAGCACGCCGCGGUGAAUACGUUCCCGGCCUUGUACACACCGACGCAC